rnacentral:rRNA from 1 species
AGCGAACGCUGGCGGCAGGCCUAACACAUGCAAGUCGAACGGAUCCUUCGGGAUUAGUGGCGGACGGGUGAGUAACACGUGGGAACGCGCCCUUUGGUUCGGAGCAACUCAGGGAAACUUGAGCUAAUACCGGAUGUGCCCUUCGGGGGAAAGAUUUAUCGCCAUUGGAGCGGCCCGCGUCUGAUUAGCUAGUUGGGGGGGUAAAGGCCCACCAAGGCGACGAUCAGUAGCUGGUCUGAGAAGAUGAUCAGCCACAUUGGGAAUGGGACACGGCCCAAACUCCUACGGGAGGCAGCAGUGGGGAAUUUUGCGCGAUGGGCGAAAGCCUGACGCAGCCAUGCCGCGUGAAUGAUGAAGGUCUUAGGAUUGUAAAAUUCUUUCACCGGGGACGAUAAUGGCGGUACCCGGAGAAGAAGCCCCGGCUAACUUCGUGCCAGCCGCCGCCGUAA